GAUGAACGCUGGCGGCGUGCCUAAUACAUGCAAGUCGAGCGAACAGACGAGGAGCUUGCUCCUCUGACGUUAGCGGCGGACGGGUGAGUAACACGUGGAUAACCUACCUAUAAGACUGGGAUAACUUCGGGAAACCGGAGCUAAUACCGGAUAAUAUAUUGAACCGCAUGGUUCAAUAGUGAAAGACGGUUUUGCUGUCACUUAUAGAUGGAUCCGCGCCGCAUUAGCUAGUUGGUACGGUAACGGCUUACCAAGGCAACGAUGCGUAGCCGACCUGAGAGGCUGAUCGGCGACACUGGAACUGGGACACGGUCCAGACUCCUAAGGGAGGCAGCAGUAGGGAAUCUUCCGCAAUGGGCGAAAGCCUGACGGAGCAACGCCGCGUGAGUGAUGAAGGUCUUCGGAUCGUAAAACUCUGUUAUUAGGGAAGAACAAAUGUGUAAGUAACUAUGCACGUCUUGACGGUACCUAAUCAUAAAGCCACGGCUAACUACGUG
rnacentral:rRNA from 1 species